GUAUGGAGCAAGCGUUAUCCGGAUUUACUGGGUGUAAAGGGUGCGUAGGUGGCAGUGCAAGUCAGAUGUGAAAGGCCGGGGCUCAACCCCGGAGCUGCAUUUGAAACUGCUCGGCUAGAGUACAGGAGAGGCAGGCGGAAUUCCUAGUGUAGCGGUGAAAUGCGUAGAGAUGGGGAGGAACACCAGUGGCGAAGGCGGCCUGCUGGGCUUUAACUGACGCUGAGGCACGAAAGCGUGGGUAGCAAACAGGAUUAGAUACCCUGGUAGUCCACGCUGUAAACGAUGAUUACUAGGUGUGGGGGGUCUGAUCCCUUCCGUGCCGGAGUUAACACAAUAAGUAAUCCACCUGGGGAGU
rnacentral:rRNA from 1 species